AGUGAACGCUGGCGGUAGGCCUAACACAUGCAAGUCGAACGGCAGCACAGUAAGAGCUUGCUCUUACGGGUGGCGAGUGGCGGACGGGUGAGGAAUACAUCGGAAUCUACUUUUUCGUGGGGGAUAACGUAGGGAAACUUACGCUAAUACCGCAUACGACCUACGGGUGAAAGCAGGGGAUCUUCGGACCUUGCGCGAUUGAAUGAGCCGAUGUCGGAUUAGCUAGUUGGCGGGGUAAAGGCCCACCAAGGCGACGAUCCGUAGCUGGUCUGAGAGGAUGAUCAGCCACACUGGAACUGAGACACGGUCCAGACUCCUACGGGAGGCAGCAGUGGGGAAUAUUGGACAAUGGGCGAAAGCCUGAUCCAGCCAUACCGCGUGGGUGAAGAAGGCCUUCGGGUUGUAAAGCCCUGUUGUUGGGAAAGAAAAGCAGCAGGUUAAUACCCCGCUGUUCUGACGGUACCCAAAGAAUAAGCACCGGCUAACUUCGUG
rnacentral:rRNA from 1 species